UAGGGGGCGAGCGUUAUCCGGAUUCAUUGGGCGUAAAGCGCGCGCAGGCGGGUUGCUAAGCGGGACCUCUAAUCCUGGGGCUCAACCUCAGGCCGGGUCCCGAACUGGCAGCCUCGGGUUCGGUAGGGGAGAUCGGAAUUCCCGGUGUAGCGGUGGAAUGCGCAGAUAUCGGGAAGAACACCGAUGGCGAAGGCAGAUCUCUGGGCCGCAACCGACGCUGAGGCGCGAAAGCUAGGGGAGCGAAC
rnacentral:rRNA from 1 species